AAUUCUCAACCCCUCCAGCUUUUGCAAGCUUGGCUGGGGCUUGGAUGUUGGGGGUUUGCGGGCCUUUAUUAUCAAAGGUCAGCUCCCCUGAAAUGUAUUAGCGGAACCGUUUGCGAUCCGUCAUUGGUGUGAUAUUAUCUACGCCAUGUGGGUUGCUCUCUGUCUGUUCAGCUGCCAAUAGUCCAUUCACGGACAAUCUUUUGAAC
rnacentral:misc_RNA from 1 species